rnacentral:rRNA from 1 species
CUACGGGGCGCUCCAGUGGGGAAUAUUGGACAAUGGGGGAAACCCUGAUCCAGCAAUGCCGCGUGAGUGAAGACGGCCUUAGGGUUGUAAAACUCUUUCGCUAGGGAAGAUAAUGACUGUACCUAGUAAAGAAGUCCCGGCUAACUCCGUGCCAGCAGCCGCGGUAAUACGGAGGGGACUAGCGUUGUUCGGAAUUACUGGGCGUAAAGAGUUCGUAGGCGGACUGACAAGUUAGAGGUGAAAUCCCAGGGCUCAACCCUGGAACUGCCUUUAAAACUGUCAGUCUAGAGACCGGAAGAGGUUAGGGGAAUACCUAGUGUAGAGGUGAAAUUCGUAGAUAUUAGGUGGAACACCAGUGGCGAAGGCGCCUAACUGGUCCGGUACUGACGCUGAGGAACGAAAGCGUGGGGAGCAAACAGGAUUAGAUACCCUUGUAGUC